rnacentral:lncRNA from 10 species
AGUGGGACCCGACCCUGUCUCCAGUGGGCGUCUUGGGCCCCGGCUCUAUUCUGGGCUGCGGGCCUGGGAAGGGCUCGCCGGGUGCCAAAUGAGCUGUCCUAACUCUGCGGGGCUGCAGCUUCCUGCAUGAUGCUGGGGAGCUUGGCGCCUGACCCAGGAUCUAGAAGGCACUCUGGGCAGGCCGCGCUCCGCCCACGAAGGUACCCAACCCUCUGGGAUAGAUGCAGGAAGCGAUGGUUAAGACCCAUUUUCACCCAACUUCUCGCCGCAGGUCUGGCUUACCACACGCUCCUCCCCAUUCCCAGUGAGCCGCUUUUUGCAGCACCAGGCGAACACUUACACCAGUGCUUUGUAAAGGAAUCUUAUUGUCCACCCCGUGUCUUGGCAAAAGAACAGUGAUCACACAGAUUCCUACUUGGGCUCUUUCCUUUAAUCUUCGGAGGCUGAGUUUGCCCAACUCAGGUUUAACCACCAAGGACUCUGAGAGCUGGCAGGUCUGAGUAACCCUGGUAACAAUUCUCUUCACCUUAUCAAAACCUGAGCUAAAACCAAUGCAUCAGCUGAUGAUGACAGCAGAGAGUGGCAGGGCUGAGGACCCAAAGUCAUUUCCCAGGCUGGCGGAGGGUUUUUUUCUCAGUCAACUGAAUUCUUUUUCUCCACUUUGUUUUGCCACUCUUAAUGCAUGCAUGAGAGGCCCUAAGAUAAUUUCUGAUGGCCUGGGACUCCUUGGGAAAAAAAUGAAAAGGCACCACAGGUUCCAUUUUGGGAGAAACCUCCAUUUUCCUCAUGAAACCGCAGGAAUUA